rnacentral:rRNA from 1 species
UACAGAGGGUGCAAGCGUUAAUCGGAAUUACUGGGCGUAAAGCGCGCGUAGGUGGUUUGUUUAGUUGGAUGUGAAAGCCCCGGGCUCAACCUGGGAACCGCAUUCAAAACUGACAAGCUAGAGUAUGGUAGAGGGUGGUGGAAUUUCCUGUGUAGCGGUGAAAUGCGUAGAUAUAGGAAGGAACACCAGUGGCGAAGGCGGCUCACUGGACAUGUAUUGACGCUGAGGUGCGAAAGCGUGGGGAGCAAACAGG